UGGGGAAUUUUGGACAAUGGGGGCAACCCUGAUCCAGCAAUGCCGCGUGUGUGAAGAAGGCCUUCGGGUUGUAAAGCACUUUUGUCCGGAAAGAAAACGUCGUGGUUAAUACCCGUGGCGGCUGACGGUACCGGAAGAAUAAGCACCGGCUAACUACGUGCCAGCAGCCGCGGUAAUACGUAGGGUGCAAGCGUUAAUCGGAAUUACUGGGCGUAAAGCGUGCGCAGGCGGUCCGCUAAGACAGAUGUGAAAUCCCCGGGCUUAACCUGGGAACUGCAUUUGUGACUGGCGGGCUAGAGUAUGGCAGAGGGGGGUAGAAUUCCACGUGUAGCAGUGAAAUGCGUAGAGAUGUGGAGGAAUACCGAUGGCGAAGGCAGCCCCCUGGGCCAAUACUGACGCUCAUGCACGAAAGCGUGGGGAGCAAACAGGAUUAGAUACCCUGGUAGUCCACGCCCUAAACGAUGUCAACUAGUUGUCGGGUCUUCAUUGACUUGGUAACGUAGCUAACGCGUGAAGUUGACCGCCUGGGGAGUACGGUCGCAAGAUUAAAACUCAAAUGAAAUUGACGGGGUCAUAGCUGUUUCCUG
rnacentral:rRNA from 1 species